rnacentral:rRNA from 1 species
UACGUAGGUGACCAGCGUUGUCCGGAUUUACUGGGCGUAAAGAGCGCGCAGGCGGUCGUUCAAGUCGAGUGUGAAAGCCCCCGGCUCAACUGGGGAGGGUCACUCGAUACUGAUCGACUUGAAGGCAGGAGAGGGAAGCGGAAUUCCCGGUGUAGUGGUGAAAUGCGUAGAUAUCCGGCGGAACACCGGUGGUGAAGGCGAUUCCCUGGACCGAGGCCGACGCUGAGGCGCGAGAGCGUGGGGAGCGAACCGG